rnacentral:rRNA from 1 species
GUCCUAGCUGUAAACGAUGGGCACUGGGCAGGGGGGAUACCUAUGUCCUCUCUGCCGGAGCUAAUGUGUUAAGUGCCCCGCCUGGGGAGUACGCUCGCAAGGGUAAAACUCAAAGAAAUUGACGGGGGCUCACACAAGCGGUGGAGCAUGUGGUUCAAUUCGAAGCAACGCGAAGAACCUUACCUGGCCUUGACAUGCACGGAUUAGUCCCGUGAAAGCGGGAUAACAGCUCUUCGGAGUCGGAACGUGCACAGGUGUUGCAUGGCUGUCGU